GCCUGGGUGGCUCAGUCGGUUGGGCGUCUGACUUCGGCUCAGGUCAUGAUUUCACAGUUUGUGGGUUUGAGCCUCGCGUCGGGCU
rnacentral:tRNA from 1 species